GCAAAUAAAUAACACAGCCACAGAGCCGUAACUGUGAAUACAGCAUUUAGACUGCAGGCCUAGAGGCCAAAGACAAACCGCUCCAGCGCUUCUCAAGCCUCCUCGGUGUGUUGGCACUGGCUUCCAGGCUUGAACGUCCACCAAGUCACCUAAGGCUUCUGUCUGUGCGCUUAUCAAGUCAUGGCAAGUGCAAGGAAAACCUAACUCACUGAAAAUAGCAAAGCCGUUCUAUGCUAACAGAAACUGCACAAUGUCUUAAGCUGAGCAGAUAUAUUUUACAAAUUGAUUAGAAAUGUGUGACUCAGCAGCAGCACAAAUUCCCGAGAGGAGAUGGUUGAUCGCUGUCUCUACUACAGCUCACUCACUGAAGGUGCAGUCAGCGACGCCGUGAAGACAUCCAGCCUGAGUGGACAGCAGGACCAGGACUCUCUUCCCCUUCUCAGAAUCCCAGACAUCAAAAAUUAAAUUACCGACGAGGAACUGUAUAUGUGAGAAAGUUAAAAAGUGAUGUCGUGCACACUGGGGAUGGGCAGGCCCUGAGAAGACAAGGCAGGAUGUCAUGCUGGUCCUUCGCCCAGAAGCAACCUGAGACUAAUGAACGCAAAUCAAUGACACAAACGGCAAACCUUGGGGAGAAGCUGAUCGCCACUGAGUCACGGCAUUAUUAGAUACAAAUUUCCAAUUUUAACCAAAACAAAAAAAUCACAGUGCCUACAAAGAAACAGCAAAGCAUUGUACAUUUCAGGGGGAAAGCAAAAAGAAACCGUCAAUAAAAAAGAUAACUCACCAACACUGUCCUGAGGUUUCUAGAGAGCUAAAGUGGAUAGAUAGGAAGCCAGUCACAUGAUGGGAAACGAAACGGAAAUGCAACCUGAGCAGCAGCUGCUAACUAUAUGUGAGAAGACAAUGCAGAAAAAAAAUACUAAGAUUAACCUAGGGGUGGGCAAUGGUCACCCCAGAGUAUAUGACACAAAAUACUCCAGGGGCGGAGAGUUAUUGCCCAGCCUGGGGUCUUUGCAGAAGCCAUACCUGGCCCAAAGAAAGAUAUGUAAGAACAUCUGGAAGAAUAGUAAACAGUAAUGAAGGAGUUUAAACAAGAGCAUCUUGCAUAAACAGAAAAGGACAAUCCCGAGUCAUGAGGUGGUUGAGUAAAAAUUCCAGUUACAGCUAUCAGUUCCCUCCACGUGAAGUGCUGGUCAGUUGUGCCCCAGAGGCCCCACAAACCAUAUGUGCUGUUGCCGUUGCCAUUGGCUGUGCUCCAUGACUAGAUGACAAGACCCUAUUGCUGAAGACGCCACAUCAUUUCCCUUCAGGACACUGAGAAAUAAAUCCAAGACUAAACAAGAAGCUCCCUCCUUACUGGCUAGCUUUCACAGUGCCAGACAGUGCUAUGCAGGCUGCUGGGAGAGGAUUCUCACCAACGGUCCUGGUCAGCUAUGAACCUUGUGAAACAUGAUACCAACAUACCAGACAAUAUGUGUCCACUGGCGCAAUAGUGGCACUACUGAUAUGACCAUAGCCACCGACUUUCCCACCAGAUUUACGGUCAGCUCCACAUGGGGGAACAUAUGACUUAUACAGUAAGCCAAGGCAAAAGCCUGUAGCUGGAAGUCCACAGGCCUCAGGGGGAAGUAGCUGUUAUUGAUUUGUUGAAUAGAUGUGAUGUGCCUGACAAACUUCUUUCUAAAUACUCGUGCCUAUUGAUCACUGAUGCUGUCAGCUGCACAUGAAAGGAAGCUUGCUGUGGGAUAAUGUUUCUGUACAUACACUGUAAAGAUUUGUCACUCAUAUUGGUUUAAUAAAACACCGACUGGACAGUAGCCAGGCAGGAAGUAUAGGCGAGGCAACCAGACAAGUAGAAUUCUGGGAAGAGGAAAGGCAGAGAGAUGCAGAGGAAGCAAGAUGAAAAUGCCUCACUGAGAAAAGGUACCAAGCUACAUGACUAAACAUAGACAAGAAUUAUGGAUUUAUUUAAGUUGUAAGAGCUAGUUAAUAAUAAUCCUGAGCUAAUAGGCCAAACCGUUUAUAAUUAAUAUAAGCCUCUGUAUGUUUCUUUGGAACUGAACAACGUGGCAUCCAGCAGAACAGAAGCUUCCUUUUUGUAAUAGGUGGCAUACCACAGAGAUGCAAAGAUAACAGGUGACUCUCACUGUCCAGUGCCAAGCCAUAAUUGGACAUCUAUAGUGCCGAUUCUCAGGGAGCAUAAUGGAAGAGGUGGCAUAAAGAACUGGAGGAAUUUUCUCUCAAUUCCACAUUCCUUGUUUAGAGAGAAGAAAGGCUCAUGAAACUUAAAAAGUAAACAAAACUCACAAGUCUCAGGAAGUUCCUGAAACAAGAUUCACAAGGCUCUUCCUAAGGUUAUAUAGGCAGUAACAACUGCUAGAAAAGGAAACUCCCCCAACCUGUUCAGCCACCUGACAUCAUGCAGAAAGCUCUGUAUAAAUUGUCUAGGAAGAUAAAUA